GAUGAACGCUGGCGGCGUGCCUAAUACAUGCAAGUCGAGCGAACAGAUAAGGAGCUUGCUCCUUUGACGUUAGCGGCGGACGGGUGAGUAAAACGUGGGUAACCUACCUAUAAGACUGGAAUAACUCCGGGAAACCGGGGCUAAUGCCGGAUAACAUGUUGAACCGCAUGGUUCUACAGUGAAAGGCGGCUUUGCUGUCACUUAUAUAUGGACCCGCGCCGUAUUAGCUAGUUGGUGAGGUAACGGCUGACCAAGGCAACGACACGUAGCCGACCUGAGCGAGUGAUCAGCCACACUGGAACUGGAACACGGACCAGACACCGACGGGAGACAGCAGUAGGGAAUCUUAAGAAAUGGGCGAAAGCCUGACGGAGCAACGCCGAGUGCGUGAUAAAGGACUUCGGAUCAUAAAACUCUGUUAUUAGGGAAGAACAAAUGCGUAAGUAACUGUACGAGUCUUGACGGUACCAAAUCAGAAAGCCACGGCUAACUACGGG
rnacentral:rRNA from 1 species